rnacentral:lncRNA from 1 species
AUGAUUCUCUUAUGUUUGGUUUCACUAUAAAAAACACGAAAGAAAAUAAAAUAUAAUUAAAAUUAGUUAAAAAUUUCAAAUUUAUGCAUUUUUAACUUAUUUAAUCUUUCAUAGAAGAGGAAAAGUAAGUAAAAUAAGUUUGAUGUGAUAUAUAAAAAUGAUUUAUUGACUUCAAAUCUAUUUUGUAUUCUGUUUUAUGCUUUCUUUCCUUCUACUUUUUAUCUAUUUUCUUUCUUUCACAUUUUUCUUCAAGUUUUUUGGGAACCAAAUAUCGCCUUUUGGUUCUAAAUAUUUUUUUUUUUUUUUUUUUUUUGAUAGGAAACCUUUUGGUUCUAAAUAUUGGGAUUCUUUUUUUGCCCUGGGAGAAAAAAAGGAACUGAUAUCUGUAAAUAAACAUUCCAUUUUUAGGGUGGGUAUGCUACAAACCUGGCUCCAGCAAAAUUAGUGGGUAAGUUGCUCAACUUUAUUGAUA